rnacentral:rRNA from 1 species
AUUGAACGCUGGCGGCAGGCCUAACACAUGCAAGUCGAACGGUACAGGAAGAAGCUUGCUUCUUUGCUGACGAGUGGCGGACGGGUGAGUAAUGUCUGGGAAACUGCCUGAUGGAGGGGGAUAACUACUGGAAACGGUAGCUAAUACCGCAUAACGUCGCAAGACCAAAGAGGGGGACCUUCGGGCCUCUUGCCAUCGGAUGUGCCCAGAUGGGAUUAGCUAGUAGGUGGGGUAACGGCUCACCUAGGCGACGAUCCCUAGCUGGUCUGAGAGGAUGACCAGCCACACUGGAACUGAGACACGGUCCAGACUCCUACGGGAGGCAGCAGUGGGGAAUAUUGCACAAUGGGCGCAAGCCUGAUGCAGCCAUGCCGCGUGUAUGAAGAAGGCCUUCGGGUUGUAAAGUACUUUCAGCGGGGAGGAAGGGAGUAAAGUUAAUACCUUUGCUCAUUGACGUUACCCGCAGAAGAAGCACCGGCUAACUCCGUG